AGCGAACGCUGGCGGCAGGCUUAACACAUGCAAGUCGAACGCCCCGCAAGGGGAGUGGCAGACGGGUGAGUAACACGUGGGAACGUACCCUUUGGUUCGGAAUAACUUGGGGAAACUCAAGCUAAUACCGGAUAAGCCCUUAUGGGGAAAGGUUUACUGCCGAAGGAUCGGCCCGCGUCUGAUUAGCUAGUUGGUGAGGUAAUGGCUCACCAAGGCGACGAUCAGUAGCUGGUCUGAGAGGAUGAUCAACCGCACUGGGACUGAGACACGGACCAGAAUCCUACGGGAGGCAGCAGUGGGGAAUAUUGGACAAUGGGGACAACCCUAAUCCAGCCAUGCGGCGUGGGGGAUGAAGGCCUUAGGGUUGGAAAGCUCUUUUGCCCGGGACGAUAAUGACUGUACCGGGAGAAGAAGCCCCGGCUAACUUCGUGCCAGCAGCCGCAGUAA
rnacentral:rRNA from 1 species